rnacentral:tRNA from 1 species
GAGGGUAUAGCUCAGUGGUAGAGCUCAUGCUUAACAUGCAUAAAGUCCUGGGUUCCAGCCCCAGUACCUCCA